rnacentral:tRNA from 1 species
GCGGAUAUGAUGAAAUUGGUAGACAUGUUAGAUUUAGGUUCUAGUGAUAAAUUAGAUCGUGAGGGUUCAAAUCCCUCUAUCCGUA